UCGACAGUCACCUUUGGUUUAUUUUCUUGUAUAAUACUACUUCUUGCACAUGUAGACCAUAAUUAUUUCUAGUUUAUAGGUUGUCACAUUCAUUAUUCCGCAUCCAUUUUCAUAGAAAAGGCAAAACAUCGAAUUCGCUCCUUGUCGCUUCCAUUUUGAGUUUUUGACAACCUUCAGAACACUUGACAUCACGUUCGCAAUACAGAUUUCAGUAAUGUUGACGCAUG